rfam:Oryza sativa Japonica Group DNA, chromosome 6, cultivar: Nipponbare, complete sequence.
UUUAAGUGCAGUUGUGAGUUUCCGUAUCCAACAUUUGGCCGUCCAUCUUAUUUAAAUUUUUUUAAGAUUAAUAUUUUUAUUGUUAUUAGAUGAUAAACAUGAAUAAUACUUUAUAUGUGACUUAUUUUUUUUAAAUUUUUCAUAAAAAAUUUAAAUAAGAUUGACGGUCAAACAUUUGACACGGAAACCCACAACUGCACUUAUA